GGAGGGUGCAAGCGUUGUUCGGAAUUAUUGGGCGUAAAGCGCGUGUAGGCGGCUUGGCUAGUCGGGUGUGAAAGCCCGGGGCUCAACGCCCGGAACUGCACUACGAAACUGCCUCGCUAGACGUCCCGGAGAGGAAGGCGGAACUUCCCGGUGUAGAGGUAGAAAUUCGUAGAUAGUCGGGAGGAACACCAGUGGCGAAGGCGGCCUUCUGGACGGUGACUGACGCUGAGACGCGAAAGCGUGGGGAGCAAACAGGAUUAGAUACCCUGGUAGUCCACGCCGUAAACGUUGGGUGCUAGGUGUCGCGGGUAUUGACCCCCCUGCGGUGCCGACGCUAACGCAUUAAGCACCCCGCCUGGGGAGUACGGUCGCAAGGCUA
rnacentral:rRNA from 1 species